AGAGUUUGAUCAUGGCUCAGGGUUAACGCUGGCGGUGCGCCUAACACAUGCAAGUCGAGCGGUAACUAUUAUAUAGUUGCAGCGGCGAACGGGUGGGUAAUACGUUGGUAUCUACCCUUAACUCAGGGAUAAGCCACUGAAAAGUGGUCUAAUACCGGAUAGUCUCAUACUAGUUAUGAGUAAAGCUCCGGCGGUUAAGGAUGAACCUGCGUCCUAUCAGCUUGUUGGUAAGGUAAUGGCUUACCAAGGCUAUGACGGGUAGCUGGUCUGAGAGGAUGGUCAGCCACAGUGGGACUGAGACACGGCCCACACUCCUACGGGAGGCAGCAGUGAGGAAUUUUCCGCAAUGGGCGAAAGCCUGACGGAGCGACACCGCGUGAAGGAUGAUGCUUUUCGGAGUGUAAACUUCUUUUCUGAUGGAACAAGUUCUGAGAUUACAUCAGGAAUAAGCCCCGGCUAACUACGUGCCAGCAGCCGCGGUAAUACGUAGGGGGCAAGCGUUACUCGGAAUUAUUGGGCGUAAAGGGUCUGUAGGCGGUAUGAUAAGUCGGAUAUUAAAUUCCAAAGCUCAACUUUGGAGCUGUGUUCGAGACUAUCAAACUAGAGGAUCGCAGAGGUAAGUAGAAUUCCCGGUGUAGGGGUAGAAUCCGUUGAUAUCGGGAGGAAUACCAAAAGCGAAGGCAACUUACUAGAGUAAUCCUGACGUUGAGAGACGAAAGCGUGGGUAGCAAACAGGAUUAGAUACCCUGGUAGUCCACGCCGUAAACGAUGGAUACUAGGUGUUGGUGGAGUCGAUCCUACCAGUGCCGUAGCUAACGCGUUAAGUAUCCCGCCUGGGAAGUACGGUCGCAAGAUUAAAACUCAAAUGAAUAGACGGGGACCCACACAAGCGGUGGCGCAUGUUGUUUAAUUCGACGAUACGCGAGAAACCUCACCAAGACUUGAAAUCCCGAGAAUCUUCCAGAAAUGGAAGAGUGCCUUUUGGAACUCGGUGACAGGUGCUGCAUGGUUGUCGUCAGCUCGUGCCUUGAGGUGUUCGGUUAAGUCCGUGAACGAGCGCAACCCUUACUCUGAUUUACAAUUUAUCAGAGGACUGCCCUCGUAAGAGGGAGGAAGGUGAGGACGACGUCAAAUCAGCAUGGCCCUUAUGUCUUGGGCUACUAACGUGCUACAAUGGGAUGUACAAUGGGCAGCCAACCUGCAAAGGGGAGCCAAUCCCACAAAAACAUCUCCAAGUUCGGAUUGAGGUCUGCAACUCGACCUCAUGAAGUUGGAACCGCUAGUAAUCGCGAAUCAGAAUGUCGCGGUGAAUAUGUUCCUGGGUCA
rnacentral:rRNA from 1 species